rnacentral:tRNA from 1 species
GUCCCAGUAGCUUAACCUAAAGCAUUGGUCUUGUAAACCGAAGACUGAGAUCUAACCUUUCUCCUGGGACUU